ACAUACGACCAGAGGAAACUGAGAAUUAGGCAUCCCGUCCGAUCUGCCCUAUACAAGCAGUUUACCGGCGGAUUAGUAGUUAGGUGGGUGACCACUAGCGAAUCCCCGCUGUCGUAUGUU
rfam:Cochliobolus sativus ND90Pr unplaced genomic scaffold COCSAscaffold_10, whole genome shotgun sequence.